GCUUUUGUUCAAUUGAAACAUUCCUUGAGCAUCUGUUCUGCGUUGGUGCCCACAGCCUGGACAGACAUGAGAGAACUGAAGAUGACACACCCUGACAAAGGCUACUAGAGAAGGAUUCAUAGUGUUACAGGAGCUGAGACUGCCGAGUGCUGAGCUGAGACUAGAAGGAAAGCGGAUUGUUCAGAGAGGAAGUCAACCCCAGAACCAGUGAGGACGCACAGGCCCGUGAAGAGUACCUGCAUUGUGGCAAGAUGCCCCUCCAGGUAGAUGCAGCAACGUUUAAGCACUUGACAGCCAGGAGGGAGAUCUGAAGAUUCUCAAGGAGGUAAGUGUUGAAGCAUCACACUAUUGACGCGCGUUUAGAGUCAUUCCCAUCCAGCAGCGCAUUCAGUUUUAUGAAGAACAGAAUUUGACAGGAAUAGUCCCAACAAGCUGUACCUCAGGCAACAGUGGAAGAUUUCACUAUUUAACUGGGA
rnacentral:lncRNA from 1 species